rnacentral:rRNA from 1 species
AUGUUCAUCUUAUGGGAUGAAAGAAGCAAGGUAAACGUAAGUAUCUUGGGGCUUCUUUCUAGCUGGUUACGGGGUUCAGCUCUGCUUCUGCCAUGGGCUGCCAUCGGCCUCUUCCACAAUAGUCACAGUGAAGCUUAUAAUGCUGACGAUGUCAAGGUUACAUAUGCCUUAUUCUACUGUACAGCCGUGCUGGAGUUUUUCAGUAUUUCUUUGAUGAGAGAAAGUAUUGCAAAGGGUCAAGUGAAAUUCAAUUUGGAAUCUCUGCUUGCUGGCCUUAUUGGUAGCCUACUAAGUGCUCCGAGUAAUGAGGUACUGGAAACUAGCUUUGUAGGCCAAUAUACACUGGUAGGAUUCUUUGCUCGCAACAAAAGGCACAUCAAGAAGAUGUGCAUCGUGAACUUCUUCAAUUGCAAAGACUUUCUUGACCAACAUUGGUCCAUGAAGCCCUGCAACACAUCUUUUGCCAUUACAGAAUUGGUUCUUAAGUAUGUGAAGAACGGGUGGGAAGAUCAAAUGAAGGAUGUUGACAGUUAUUGGAAGUUCAAUGACCGCAGAGGCCUAUGGACACUUCAGGCCAACAAGUGCGAGCAAGACCUCGGUUGCAGCAUGAGGAGGCCAUUCGACGAGAGCAUCCUUCUCUGGCACAUCGCCACAGAUUUCUGCUUCUACUUCAUGGGAGCAUCAGCAGAUCACCGGUGUGCCACUGCUCAAUGUAUUCAAGAUGCAUCUGGUGAUGGCCAUGGGUGUCCUGUUUGGUGUGAAAGAUCUCCUCAUCACAAAAGAGCCAUCCGGUGCAGGGAAAUGUCCAAUUACAUGAUAUAUCUACUGUUUGUCAAUCCUGAGAUGCUACUGGCCGGCACCAGAAGACAUCUUUUUAUGACCGCUAAUGCUGAAGUUGAGGAGAUCCUCAUGGAUGAGAAGCCAUCGCUCAAGAAGAUUUUAAAGGCCAAAAGUCCAUGGCUCAUGGACAUCCUAAAAAGAGAAAAGCAAUGGCUUAAAGACAUCCUGACGGAAGAAAAGCAACGGCUGAAAGACAUUUUCAGUAGCGAAGAUUCACUUCCAUGGAAGAUGUGGGGAGUUAUUCAAGGCGUGUGGGUGGAGAUGCUCUGCUUCUCUGCAAGUAGAGGCCGUGGGUACCUACAUGCCAAGAGUUUGGGCACCGGUGAGGAGCUUCUCACGCAUGUGUGGCUCCUGCUGUCCUGCAUGGGGAUGGAGACCUUGCCGGAGAGGCUGCAGAGGACGGACCUUUCAAGUGGAGAAGGAAACGCCGGUGCUACUCCGUCGACUUCACAGAUAUUAUAA